rnacentral:rRNA from 1 species
GGUGAACCUGCGGAAGGAUCAUUACCGAGUGAGGGCCCUCUGGGUCCAACCUCCCACCCGUGUUUAUUUUACCUUGUUGCUUCGGCGGGCCCGCCUUUACUGGCCGCCGGGGGGCUCACGCUCCCGGGCCCGCGCCCGCCGAAGACACCCCCGAACUCUGUCUGAAGAUUGCAGUCUGAGUGAAAACGAAAUUAUUUAAAACUUUCAACAACGGAUCUCUUGGUUCCGGCAUCGAUGAAGAACGCAGCGAAAUGCGAUACGUAAUGUGAAUUGCAAAUUCAGUGAAUCAUCGAGUCUUUGAACGCACAUUGCGCCCCCUGGUAUCGGGGGGCAUGCCUGUCCGAGCGUCAUUGCUGCCCUCAAGCCCGGCUUGUGUGUUGGGCCCCGUCCCCCGAUCCCGGGGGACGGGCCCGAAAGGCAGCGGCGGCACCGCGUCCGGUCCUCGCGUAUGGGGCUUUGUCACCCGCUCCGUAGGCCCGGCCGGCGCCUGCCGAUCAACCCCAAAUUUUUAAUCCAGGUUGACCUCGGAUCAGGUAGGGAUACCCGCUGAACUUAAGCAUAUCAAUAAGCGGAGGAAAAGAAACCAACAGGGC